GGUGGGGGAUGGGCUCGCGGCCUAUCAGCUUGUUGGUGGGGUGAUGGCCUACCAAGGCGUCGACUGGUAGCCGGCCUGAGAGGGCGACCGGCCACACUGGGACUGAGACACGGCCCAGACUCCUACGGGAGGCAGCAGUGGGGAAUAUUGCACAAUGGGCGCAAGCCUGAUGCAGCGACGCCGCGUGAGGGAUGACGGCCUUCGGGUUGUAAACCUCUUUCAGCAGGGAAGAAGCGCAAGUGACGGUACCUGCAGAAGAAGCGCCGGCUAACUACGUGCCAGCAGCCGCGGUAAUACGUAGGGCGCAAGCGUUGUCCGGAAUUAUUGGGCGUAAAGAGCUCGUAGGCGGUCUGUCGCGUCUGGUGUGAAAUCCCGAGGCUCAACCUCGGGCUUGCAUCGGGUACGGGCAGACUAGAGUGCGGUAGGGGAGACUGGAAUUCCUGGUGUAGCGGUGGAAUGCGCAGAUAUCAGGAGGAACACCGAUGGCGAAGGCAGGUCUCUGGGCCGCAACUGACGCUGAGGAGCGAAAGCAUGGGGAGCGAACAGGAUUAGAUACCCUGGUAGUCCAUGCCGUAAACGUUGGGCACUAGGUGUGGGGCUCAUUCCACGAGUUCCGUGCCGCAGC
rnacentral:rRNA from 1 species